AGUGCUGCAGCUAACGCAUUAAGCACUCCGCCUGGGGAGUACGGCCGCAAGGCUGAAACUCAAAGGAAUUGACGGGGGCCCGCACAAGCGGUGGAGCAUGUGGUUUAACUCGAAGCAACGCGAAGAACCUUACCAGGUCUUGACAUCCUCUGACACUCCUAGAGAUAGGAAUUUCCCCUUCGGGGGACAGAGUGACAGGUGGUGCAUGGUUGUCGUCAGCUCGUGUCGUGAGAUGUUGGGUUAAGUCCCGCAACGAGCGCAACCCUUGAUCUUAGUUGCCAGCAUUCAGUUGGGCACUCUAAGGUGACUGCCGGUGACAAACCGGAGGAAGGUGGGGAUGACGUCAAAUCAUCAUGCCCCUUAUGACCUGGGCUACACACGUGCUACAAUGGAUGGUACAAAGGGCAGCAAAACCGCGAGGUUAAGCCAAUCCCAUAAAACCAUUCUCAGUUCGGAUUGUAGGCUGCAACUCGCCUACAUGAAGCCGGAAUCGCUAGUAAUCGCGGAUCAGCAUGCCGCGGUGAAUACGUUCCCGGGCCUUGUACACACCGCCCGUCACACCACGAGAGUUUGUAACACCCGAAGUCGGUGGGGUAACCGUAAGGAGCCAGCCGCCUAAGGUGGGACAUAUGAUUGGGGUGAAGUCGUAACAAGGUAGCCGUAUCGGAA
rnacentral:rRNA from 1 species